AAAAUGGUGGUUGGGAAGAAAAUGUAAACAUCAUACGAUUUUUUACAAAAACUACCAAAAACAAACAUGAGUGUGUUUGAAACAUUGAAAGCUGGGCUAAAGACAUUUACUUCACGUGACUCAAGCAAUGAAACCACAACUCAUGAUUCCAAAACCUCAUUUAAUUUAGAUGCUGGAGCAGAUCUACUUCAAAGAUAUCAACUAAUAUGGAAAGAGCUCCAUGAAAACACAGAGCAAAAUGCAAGGCGAGCAGAGGAGGUUGAUGUUUUGAUAAACAACCUUUUUGUGGAAUAUGACAGAAAAAAUGAAGUCCUGGGAAAACUUCAUGAAAGUGUGAAAUCACUUCCUCUCAUUUUAUCGGAGCUACAAAGUCUUACAGAUGUUUUAGGCUUUGAUGUUUUCAGCUACACUAGAUGAGGAGUAUGACCAUGUAGAGUCAGCACUGAUACAACUGGAGAAUAUAUGUGAGAAACAGGAACUACAGAAUGCAAAACUGGUGGACUCUCAAAAACUGGCAGCCUACCGCAACAGGAAGAUGGAUGAUUUAGAGAAGUUAAAGGUGCAACUUGCAAAAGACCAUAUGAAAUCCGUUCAGAAAUUAGAGAAACAUAAACAAAAAGAGCUGAAGGAGAGACAGGAAACAUUCCAGAGUGCUUUUGACCAGGACAUUGACUUUUACAGAACACAUGGCAGAUUAGAACGUUUGUCUGUAUCCAGUUCAGACAGUGGUAAGAGGGCUGACCUUGGAGACAUCGUGGUGGACACUGACCAGCAUGCCCUGGAUGAUUUCCUCCAGGAAGAGGACACCACACCCUCUGUAGAAGCAGUGACCACCGAUAAGACAGAGGACACGCUUAGUGAUUACGAGGAAGACCCGCUCGUUGUUAGGAGCUCGGAGGAUGUGGAGGUCGAGGACGAAUACUACGAGGAUGACCUCGGGGCCUCCCACGGGGACCAGGAACCUUACUCAGACUCCGAGGAUGUGACGGAGGGGAGCGAUAGUGAAAAAACAUCCCCCACUAACCCACAAAGCUGAUGCAUUGUGCUUGUAAAACAUAUAUUCAUUACUUUCAUAAUAUAUGAACUAUUUGAAGUUUAUUUCAUUUGUGCUUUAUUGAAAAACAAUUUCGCAUGAAUGUUUGUAUUACACUUUGUGAUUGUUUUUUACUAUGGAAAAUAAUGCAGUUAUGAGUACAAUAGGUUAUACAAGAUUUGAUUAAGUUUUAUCUGUUAUAUGAUGUUACAUUAAAUAAUCUAUUGAG
rnacentral:misc_RNA from 1 species